AUGGAGGAUGCACCCAAAACAUAAGAGAAGGAAGUAGAGGGGAAAGGAGGCAGGGGCCAAGGAGGGAGGAUGAUGGGGAGAGACAAGCAGGGCAACGGUGAGAGUGAUGAGGGAAAAAAAUAAAGCGCAGAGGUUGAGGAGGGUGAAGAAAUAACAUCCUUUGAAGCAAAAGCAGGGCAAGUCGGGGCAGUAUUAAAAUAUUUUAAAAGGUGGAGAGGAAUCGGGCUGCAGCGAUUCUUUGAAGAGAUGGUGCGUCAGGUAUUCAGAAAAGCAUGAUGCUAUUCAUAGAUGCAGCACAUAUGCAGCAACCGUGCUGCUAAAUUAAGGAAUAAAUGGAACGACAAUGAUCCUGAACUGAUCAACCCGAACAUGACUCAACGGCAGCGCAAAGCCCAUUUGCUCCUAAGAGAAUUCACACGUCGGAAACACACGUCUGGCAGAUUUCAAAUCCUCAGUGAUAGACAAGACAUUGAGCGUCAUUCCUUCCUGGAAAUAAUGUUUUUCAGAAUGGAAGCUGUGACUUGAAAAUCAUAUUGCUCUGCAAUUUUGUGAUAACACCAUCUUUGAUGCCUGAUGGAACACGUUCAGCAAGAAGAAAAAAAAACACUGCUUGGAGGAAUGACAAGUUUAAUUAAGUUUACAUUAAGAUAUGUUUGGUGUGCGUAGCUCAGAUUAUAAGAGUUAAUUAGGACUUUGGUGAGAAAAUUUGUGAGAUUUACCAGCCUGCAAGCCAAACUAAUAUGCAUAGUCCAGAAUGACUGAUCUGCCCCGCUUCUCUUUCAAAACUUUUCCAUCCACCGAGAGUCGAGUCUAAAGCGUUACAAAAGUAAUGUGAUUACAUUAUUACAGCAUAUUAUUUGUCUUUAAAAAGCAAUUUUAGUGCUGACAAAUGAGACACAAUUUUAGUUUUGUACAUUAUAUUAAAUGUUGACCUUUGGGUCACUUUUUUGUACCGCCAAAAAGUGCUCCGUCAAGAUUUUAAAUUGUAGGAUUUGAUUGGCGCAGUCGUUGCACCCUUCCGCUUCGUCUCCCUUUUCGUUUUUAUGCAGGGCCAAUACUAUACGGUGAUUGGUAAGAUUUUCAAUCACUGUUCAAGCAAUGAUUGGGCAGUCGACAACACAAUCCUGAAUAUUUAAUUGGUCAUCAACGAUUCAGUUAUGAUUGACUCAUUUUGUACCGCUUAUAUGAUCGGGAUCAUGGCUGAUCUGGAUAUCAUCUUAAUUCGGGCGGGAGGCAGCGUACACUUUGCACAGGUAGCCAGUUAAUCACAGGAAACAACAGUAGCUGCACAACAACAAGAUUUUGAUAGCUAGACCAAAAAAGAUCUAGUUAGUUGACAUCAACACAAACCUCCACAAGGUGUGAGUGAAGGUAUCACAGUGUACUGUUCACAGAGGACUUGAUGAUGCAAACCAGUCAUCCUAGUCACAAGGUGAGACAUAAGGGCCAAACUUAUCACACUGCGCAGGCAAAGUCAUGGCUUUGGAUUCCAUGGCUUCUUCUGGGAUCAGGAGAAGCAAGAAGGAAAAGAACUUUGAGGCUAACCAAGUGAAUGUUCAGAUGUAAACCCUAAAGAGCAUGCAGGUUACCUAAAACAAACAACUGAAAGGCACCACGAUGGAAAAGCUACAGAAAAAAACAAAACAAGUAAAAGUUUGGUGAUGCCAAUGAUGAUUUGCAAUCAAAUAUUUACUUUUCAUGUCAAGUGUCUGUCCCAACACUUUUGCUCAUCUUUGGAGUUUUAUUACAAAUAAUGUUAAUCUUAACCUAAUCUUCAAAAGUAUGGAUCAGAUGCAGAAGCAAAUAAAUAAAAAUGGAAAUAUCGAUCUUACCUCACAUUCAUUUUUUGAUGUAAAACCCAUGAAAAGCCAACAAUAAAUAAAAGUGUUCCAAUACAUUUGCAAGAGAGCAUCUAGCGCAGGGGUCACCAAUUUUUUGAAACUGAGAGCUCCUUCUUGGCUACUGAUGAAUGCGGUGGGGCUACCAGUUUGAUAGGAUGCACUUUUAAGAUAAGAUAAGAUAUCCUUUAUUUGUCCCACACUGGGGAAAUUUACAGCCUCAAGCAGCAAGAAUGUAGGUAGAAAGAAGAAAGAAGAAAAAAAACAACAACCAC